UACAGAGGGUGCGAGCGUUGUUCGGAAUUAUUGGGCGUAAAGAGCGCGUAGGCGGUCUGCUAAGUCUGAUGUGAAAGCCCUCGGCUUAACCGAGGAAGUGCAUUGGAUACUGGUAGGCUUGAGUGUGAGAGAGGGUAGUGGAAUACCUGGUGUAGCGGUGAAAUGCGUAGAUAUCAGGUGGAACACCGGUGGCGAAGGCGGCUACCUGGAUCAUAACUGACGCUGAGGCGCGAAAGCAUGGGGAGCAAACAGG
rnacentral:rRNA from 1 species